GGCUUCAUGGAUAAGGACCGCGGAACUGUGUCAAUAGCUUCAAGUGUGAUAAGCAAUCUCGGCUUUCCACUAAUGACUUCGUUUGUGAUCACCUGAAGCUCCCUCUCUAACUAUCAACUAGCGACGACGAUGUGGUUUAGCCUUUUGUUGCUAGGUGUGCUAAAGUGAAGAGAGUGGUUUGGCGUCUGCAAGCACGUGGUCGACUUAAAGGUUCUCGACAUUGGCACAGAGCACUGGGAGGACCUUGCGCCAAUGACAGAUCCAGCUGGAGAUGCAAACUGUCCAGGCAGCUAAAAUCAGGAGAAGACAGUCUGAUGCGCAUGGUAUGAGUAAAGCGGACCCUGCUCAAGAAAAGUCUCUGCAACAUGAACGAGUCAGCCUACAGAUGUGCCCCAUGUGACAGAGACUACCACAGUUAAGCCGUAUGGCCGAAGCUGUAGGGUUGAUGUAAUUUGUAAAUUAGGAUUUUAUCAUGGUCAAUAUUGACCGAAAGAUUUCAGAUAAGUGUUAUGUGGUGUUUGCUUGGCGUUGGGCUAGCUUCAUUCCCGUGCUGGGCAUGCAAUGGAGUUUGUUCACAAGGCAAUAAGUGUAGUACGAUAUAGCUAAGUGAAUUGCAAACUAAAGGAAUAGUGAAGAAGUGUAAUGUGCCUAAUUUGAAGACAUAUUAUCAACGAUUUAUUAUAUCUGAACAACCUUACAGCUAAGUCCAUAUGUAAUCUAUCAGAAGAAGGUGCUAAAAGAAAAGGCAUUUGUCAAAGGAUAUUUAUGAAGUAUUUUGUUGAUGUUACCUUUUGAAAGAUACAUCAAGUGACCAUUAUUUUACAUGCAAAAUACAAAACAAAAAUUAUUGAAACUUAAAAGCUCUAUGAUUAUUGCGUGAGACCUUUAGAAAGAUAAUUUGGAUCUUACAACAUUUAAAUUCCUCUGGGAAAAGACAGACUAUGACAAAAACCUCCUGGGAAUUUGUGUCUGGAAAUUCUUGCUGUAGUCCCUUAAUCAUUAAUUUGAUGAGUCUAUCAUUGUCACACAAGAGCCACUCUUAGUCUUAAUGAAUACAAAAUCAAUGUGUUCCAUUUAUAUACUUUGCCACUUUUCAUACUAAUUCAAAUAACUGGAUAAGGUCUUUAGUUAUAUCAUAAUAUGUGUUGUAUAUGCCCUGUAAUCUAUU